rnacentral:rRNA from 1 species
GACGAACGCUGGCGGCGUGCCUAACACAUGCAAGUCGAGCGGAGAUUAUAGCAAUAUAAUCUUAGCGGCGGACGGGUGAGUAACGCGUGGGCAACCUGCCUCAUACUGGGGGAUAACACUGGGAAACUAGUGCUAAUACCGCAUAAUAUCACUAGAUGGCAUCAUUGGGUGAUCAAAGGAGCAAUCCGGUGUGAGAUGGGCCCGCGUCCGAUUAGCUAGUUGGUGAUGUAACGGACCACCAAGGCGACGAUCGGUAGCCAAGCUGAGAGGUUGAUCGGCCACAUUGGGGCUGAGACACGGCCCAGACUCCUACGGGAGGCAGCAGUGGGGAAUAUUGCGCAAUGGGGGAAACCCUGACGCAGCAACGCCGCGUGAAGGAUGAAGGUCUUCGGAUUGUAAACUUCUUUGAUUGGGGACGAAUAAUGACGGUACCCAAAAAACAAGCCACGGCUAACUACGUGCCAGCCGCCGCCGUAA